rnacentral:rRNA from 1 species
UACGAAGGGUGCAAGCGUUGUUCGGAAUUACUGGGCGUAAAGGGUUUGUAGGCUGGAAGAUAAGUCAAGUGUGAAAUCCCCGAGCUAAACUUGGGACGUGCAUUUGAAACUGUUUUUCUUGAGUAUCGUAGAGGGUGGUGGAAUUGUUGGUGUAGGAGUGACAUCCGUAGAGAUCAGCAGGAACAUCAGAGGCGAAGGCGACCACCUGGCCGAUUACUGACGCUGAGGAACGAAAGCGUGGGGAGCAAACAGG